AAGUGGGAUGACGUCAAGUCCUCAUGGCCCUUAUGACCAGGGCUACACACGUGCUACAAUGGCCGGUACAAAGAGUUGCGAUACCGUGAGGUGGAGCCAAUCUCAUAAAGCCGGUCUCAGUUCGGAUUGGAGUCUGCAACUCGACUCCAUGAAGUUGGAAUCGCUAGUAAUCGCGGAUCAGCAUGCCGCGGUCGAAUACGUUCCCGGGCCUU
rnacentral:rRNA from 1 species